AGGAGGCCCGCCGUCCGCCAGAGGAGCUGCAGGAGCGCCGGAGCGAGCGCGGGCUCGCAGAGAGGGGCCCGGCGGAAAAGCAGCAGGGCAGCCGCGAGAUGGAAAAAUCAAUUAUUCUCCUGCUCUGGGUGCAAUCUGCUGUUAAGAUCUCAAAAAGUUUCCAUUAUAUACCUAUGAAUAAACAAAAAACAGUAAUUUUUAUUGAAUGGGAUGAAUUUCCUCAGGGAGGAAGUCCUGAAUUUUAUUUUGUAAAAUACCAACUUGUUAAUAACUUUGCGCAAAAAAAUGUCAAAAGGAUUCUUGCAGACCCACCAGAGCUUCCAAAAGCAUUAAUGACACUAGACGAAAAUGAAGACUACCACAUCAGUAUACAGUCCAUCAAAUAUGGACAAGUGUUAAGUGAAAAGUCAUUUCAGACGCGUGGAAUAUCAGCUAGAAAUAUUAAGACACUAGCAACAAGUACAAGCGUUUCUUUUAACUGGAGUGUGCUGUCUUCCAAUGACAGUUUAGUGUCAAUAUCACUUAAUAAUUCUUCACAAAUUGUGCAAAAUAAUGUCAUGUUUUAUGAGUGGGCUGAUUUGAAACCUGCCACCUUAUAUGUUUUUACAUUUGAAUUUAAACAGUUGCAUUUGGAUUUUAUAAAUAUAUUUCAGAGACUGGAUGUUCAGAUUGAAACAGGUUCGUGUUCACAAGGAUGGGUGGCAUUAAAAAAUAACUGUUAUAGAAUUAGCAAAGAGCAUAAGCCAUGGAAUGUAGCCCAGCAACAUUGUAAGUUAUCCUUAAAUUCUGCACACCUUGUGGAUAUAAAAAAUGAAGAGGAGAAAAAUUUCAUAUGUUCACAUCUCAGGUCAAAGAAUCAAAUAAUGGUAUGGACUGGUCUUAGCAAUUUGAAGGUUAGUAAAUGAAAAGAAAGACGUUGACAGAUGGAUCAUCCUUUGGCCUUAAGAAAAACAGCAUCUUUUCUUUUCCACUGCUACCGAAGAAUGAAACAGAUUGCUACAUUUUACAGCAAAAUGCAACUGGAUCCAACUAUUUUUUUACAAGAUUUUUCUGUUAUAUUCCCUUGCCAUAUAUUUGUGAAUAUGAAUUACCUUUUCUCCAGGAAAACAUUUCCUUCUAUGUAAAGGAGGUUGGAACAACUCAAGUUGUAUUUAGUUGGAAUAAUUUGAGUGGUUGGAAUAAGUUGAAUAAGUGGCUGAACCUGGGAUAUAAAAUCAUCAUUAAAUAUUAUUUAGAUUAUACAGAAGGACAACAUUUUGAAAGCAUCCCCCCAAAUACCACAGAAAAAGCAAUUACCCAUCUGUCUCCCGGCCAUGUUUACAGAUUUUCAUUGUUUGCAAUAAAUGAAUGGGAGGCAAAAACUACUUUAAGUCCAAUAUUCAUUGUCGAAACACGCCCAUUAUCAGCCAAAAAUGUCACAAUUACGCAUGUGACCCCAACAGAAAUAUUUUUGCACUGGGAGGCUCCAGAUCCAGUGUCUUUUCACCAUUAUUUGGUGACUAUUUUGGAUGUUGAAAACAAUGAAACGGAGGAGGUGUUUAUUGAAAAGCUCAACACUUCAACAACAAUUGGAAAUCUCACAUCUUUCCAUCAUUAUCUGAUACAUCUAUUCACGGUAGCAGAAAGGGGAACUUUAAGCGGCUUCAAGAAACCUAUUUCAGUGGUUACAGGUAUUAAUCCACCUCAGAUCAUUUAUGUGAAACUUGAAGAUGUGAGAGAGGACAGUGUAAAUCUUCAGCGGGAACUCCCACCAGACAGCCAUGGGGUCUACAUUCAAAUCACAUCCGCAUCAGAUACAAGAGGAGUCAGGAAGCUUUUUGUAAAGGAUGCUAAUAGAGUCAAGGCUGAUAAUUUAAGCCCUGGGAUGAUAUAUGACAUUGGACUGGGAACAGUGGUGAAUGGGAACUUGAGCACGCUGGUAACUCUUCAACAAACUCUAAGUGAGAAUCAAAUUCUUUUCAUUCUUAACAGAUACUUUCUGAUUGGGGGCUAUGUAAAAUAGUCCCUGAUGCGCUCUUCUGGUAGCAGAUUUUACCUUUUUAAAUAGAUUGUUGGUGUGCCUCAGGAUCUGAAUUUUUUUUUUUUCUUUUUGCUUCCAUAUACCCUUGGCGUAUGGAAGUUCCCAGGCUGGGGGCCAAAUCAGAGCUACAGCUGCCGGCCUGUGCCACAGCCUCAGCAAUGUGGGAUCUGAGCCAUGUCUGCGACCUACACUACCUCUCACGCUAACACCAGAUUCCUGACCCACUGAGCAAGGACAGGGAUCGAACCCACAUCCUCACAGAUAAUAGUUGGAUUCAUUUGCACUGCGCCACAGUGGGAACUGAAGGAUCUGAAAUAUUUUGCCCCUGGUAUCCUGAGAGUGUCCUUUGCUUGUAUAAAGGCAGCAUUAUUUAUGAUUAAGAACUUGAUCCUAAAGCUAUACUACCUAGGUUUGAAUCUGGGUUUAACUAUCUGAUUAACCCUGGGCCAUGUACUCAACCUAUUUAAGCUUCAGUUUCCAAAUUUGUAAAGUGAGAGAAGGUAAUAGUGUGGGUUUCAUGGGUUGUCCUGAGAAUAACUGAUUUAAUAAGUAUAGGGACUUAGAACAGUGCCUUAAUAAAGCUCUAUAAAUGUUUACAAUUAUUUUAUCCACACGGGCAUGCUGUAGCACGUUGGCAAGAAAUAUUGACAGUGUAUUAAAAAGUUCAGGACC
rnacentral:lncRNA from 1 species